rnacentral:rRNA from 1 species
GGAUGCGAUCAUACCAGCACUAAAGCACCGGAUCCCAUCAGAACUCCGAAGUUAAGCGUGCUUGGGCGAGAGUAGUACUAGGAUGGGUGACCUCCUGGUAAGUCCUAGUGUUGCAUUCC